UGACAAUAUUGAUUGUGGGAUUUUGGGCAUGUCCACAGUCAAUCUGUGUUUGCAAUUAAAUCAUGCCAAGUGUACAGUCAUUUGAAGAGCUCCCCUACAUGGAACUCAUCACUUGGCAGCGCUUGAGAGUGACAAUGAAAGGGCCAUUCAGCAGCUAAAUCAGUUUGCUGCAAGAACUGGGAUAUGGAGAGUGACACUCAAACUCUGCUUCCUCCCUUUUCGGGGUCUACUGGCAGCCCACUUCACACCUCAGCUCUUUCCACCACAGUGCUGAGAAAGAGAUAAGGGAAUGAUUCCCCCAACAAAUACCAGAAGCUAAUGCAGUACAUCCGCUAGGAGGGAGAAGGAAACAGAGGAACGAAGGAGCCGCCAAGUUCCAGGGAUGUCCGGGGUUUUAGUGGCAGGUCACGACAAGUACCUUUUAUCCGGUUUGCAAUGAACAGCUGUUGGAUCUCCUUCUCAAUCUUUGUGGAUUACGAUUCAUAAUUGAGGGGCUUAGACAAAGGAUACAAUCAAACCAUUCUAUUCUAUUCUUACAAAACACACACAUACAGUUCACUCCCAAUGUCCCACUUACACACGCUUUGGAGAUGACACCACUGCUCAAACUAUAGCACGAAGGAAAGUAAAGAAGGCACUACGACCUAAUUGAAUGGACAGAUCGUUGGGCUCAUUUCAUCAAAUGGCUUAUACCUGCAGCCUUGCUACCUAUAAAAACUUGACAGAAUCCAGAUUUUAAAGCCUUAGUAAUUAUUAGGGAUGUAACGAUUCACCAAUAUGCAUCGAUCCCAGUUCAAAUGAGAUAUGGGUGCAUUGGUCUGUGUGACCCCAAACCGAACUAAAUGUAGCAUGCAUCGUUCAGAAAAUCAAUACAAACGUUGACUUUUUGUUGCUCAAAUUACUUUUUUAUUUAACAAGGUAACUCAGUUAUGAACAAAUUGUUAUUUACAAUGAUGGCCUUCCCUGGCCAAACCCUAACCUGGAUGACGCUGGGCCAAUUGUGCGCUGCCCUAUGGGAUUCUCAAUCACAGCCGGUUGUGAUACAGCCUGGAAUCGAACCAGGGUCUGUAGUGACGCAGUGCUUUAGACCGCUGAGCCAUCGGGAGCCCACUUUCUUUCUGGAGCCCAUCGGGAGCCCACUUUCUUUUCGGGAGCCCAUACUGCUCAUCUUUUGUGACAACUGCGUCCUCUCCUUCAAUGUUGAUCUAAGCAUGUGUUGACAGCAACUGAUCUACAAGUCAUUUUGCAUGCUGAACAACCCCAGGCAAUAUCAGUAGCCUAGUCAAACUGUGUGCUGUGCGUAGCUUCCCGCGCUGACCAACAAGAGUUAGGCCUAUUCCUGAUUUGGCACAUCUGCAUGUCACCUUCAUAAAAUGGCUUGGGCAAUAUUAGGCAAUAUUAGUUGAGUGUCAACCAAUGUAACUUGCUAGAUUAUUUUUAUCACAUGCUAUGUUGAAAAUGGUGUUUUACGGAAUAAAAGUAGCAACGGAGACAACUCAUCUGGCUGCAAUGCAUACAUCUGGGCUUACAUUAGAUUUUAUUUUGGAUGUUCAUGUUCACUAUCAGCAAUAGUUUUGCUUGAAACAACUCACCAGACAGUUUAAUAGGUACACCCAUCUAGUACAGGGUCGGACCCUCUUUGCCUCCAGAUCAGCCUGAAUCUUUAGGGGCAUUCGACAAGGUGUCGGAAAUGGGAUGUUGGUCCAUGCUGAUGCGAUGGCAUCACGCAGUUGCUGCAGAUUGAAAGGCGGUACAUUCAUGCUGCAAACCGCCCGUUCUAUCUGAUCCCAAAGAUCCUCUAUUGGGUUGAGGUCUGGGGACUGACCAGGUCUGGGGACUGACCAGGUCUGGGGACUGACUAGGUCUGGGGACUGACCAAGUCUAGGGACUGACCAGGUCUGGGGACUGACCAGGCCACUCAAGUAAACUGAACUCACUGUCAUGUUCAAGGCAAUGUUUUUCCACUCCUCAAUUGUCCAGUGUUGGUGAUCGCUGUGUGCCCACUGGAGCCGCUUCUUCUUGUUUUUAGCUGAUAGGAGUGAAACCCGGUGUGGUCGUCUGCUGCAAUAGCCCAUCCACGACAAGGAUCGAUGGAUGGGCUAUUGGAUGGUCUAUAACGAGAUGCCAUUUUGUACACCAAUUUUGUAAAGUAACAUUAAUUGUCUGUUUGUGGCCCACCUGUUAGCUUGCACAAUUUUUGCCAUUCUCCUUUGACCUCUCUCAUCAAUGAGCUGUUUUCGCCCACAGGACUGUCACAGACUGGAUGUUUUUCGUUUGUCGCACCUUUCUCAGUAAACUCUAAACUGUCGUGCAUGAAAAGCCCUGGAGGGCAGCUGUUUCUGAGAUAGUGGAUCCGGCGUGCCAGGCACCGACAAUCAUACCACGCUGAAAGUCACUUAGAUCACUUGUUUUGCCCAUUCUUACAUUCAAGUUGAACAGUAGCUGAAUACCUCAAUGCCUGUCUGUCUGCUUUAUAUAGAAAGCCAUGGCUCACGACUAGGGCUGUGGCGGUCACAAAACCUUGUCAGCUGGUGAUUAACAAGCAAAUAAUUGUUGAUCUCAUGGUAAUUGACCAGGCUUCCACACCUGACGCAGUCCUUUGGAACAUCUACAUUUUAAAAAG
rnacentral:lncRNA from 1 species